rnacentral:rRNA from 1 species
AUGUCGACGACGGUCUGGGUAGAAAUGAACGUCGGACUCACGUCGGUGUUCAAGACUGUGGCCAUCUCCCGCAUCAAGAACACAUGUGCGUCCUUCCCCACCUAUGAGGUCACUUCCAAGAGGAGGAAAAGCUCGUUGUUCAAACCCCAAUUCCGAGUGGCGGCGCGCGAGCUGACGAGCGGCGACGCAAGUGCGUCCGCCACGGGUGGGGCGGGCCAGGAGCGGCAGCUGAACGAGAAAAAUAAAGUCCAAAUAAGAGACGCAAGCCAUAAUCAGGUCAUAUUUGAAGAAAUAAUGUUCAGACAGAAGCUCUUUGUGGAUGUUGUAAGCGCCAAUGGCCUUUCGGACAGUCUUGAGCUACUGAGUCCCUGUGUUCAGCUUCGUUUUGCUGGCCAAAGUUUCACUACGACAGUCAAGAGGAAGGUUCGAUGUCCUGUAUGGUCCGAGAAGACCAUGUUUGAUGUGCUGGACAAGGAAAGGCUUCCUUCUCUUGCUCUUGAAGCUUAUGUCUAUAAUGUCAUUGAUGGCUGCCAGUUUUUCCUUGGUAAGGUCCGGAUUUCUGGGGCUAGCUUUUCUGACUCAUCUGAUGAAAUUGUCAAAGACUAUCAGUUGAAGGGUCGGAUGUUCAAGCGAUCGAAGGGAGUGUUGCUUCUUAGAGUAUUUCUGAAAUAUGAAGCCCCUGUCUCACAAGCUAUACCCUCUCCUGUUCUGGGACUUCCUGUACAGGCACCCGCGGAUGCUGUAGUCAAGUACAUUCAACCCAACUUUGAAGAUGGAAUGAUUGUUGGGCGUAUAUGCUACUUGUUUGUACGUGUGGUAAAGGCUCGAUGCUUGCCUGAUGUGGAUGUUAACCAAAAGCCUGAUCCAUAUGUAGAGGUAAAUGCUGGUAACCUUAGAAGCAUCACAAACUCUGUACCUGAGGAGCAGAACCCAGAGUGGAACUCGACUUUUGCUUUCUCCAGACGCCAGUUGGACAGUGCACAGAUAACUAGAAUCUAUGUUGUUGUCUAUGACGGGUUCACAGAUGAUUCUGUUGGGUUGAUCUCAUUUGACCUAAGUGACAUUCCUGAGCGUUCCCGAAAUGACAAACCAGUAGUACCGAAGUGGCACCAACUUAUUGACCAAAGCGGAAGGACAGCACAAGGUGAGCUGAUGCUUUCGGUUUGGAAGGGCAUGCAGUCUGAUGAGGCAUUCUGUGAUUCAUGGAAGUCCGACUGGUUAGAGGCGAGCGGGGUUGUGCGACCGCACAUUGUGCCCAAAGUGUACAAUUUACCCAGGCUGUGGUGUCUGCGGGUCCAUAUAAUUGAGUUCAAAUGUAUUGCACUAGCAUGUGGAAGCAAAAUUGUAGAGGCAUAUGUCACGGUGGUGGUAGGUGGUCAGCGAAAGACGACGAAGAGAAUGAAGAAGACACUAACCCAUUAUGUCUGGGAUGAAGAACUGACAUUCGUUGCUGCAGAGCCAUUUGAGGAAAACCUUCAAAUUUCUAUCCAAGCACAUCUAGGGCCUGGCAGAGACAAGGUUGUCGGCCGAACCAUCAUACCCGUGCAAACAGUUCAGCGUCGAGUUGGAGGUCUGUUGUCUGCCGAACUCGAGCAUCAAUGGCAUGAUCUUCAAGUUCCACCCAAUGCAGCAGUUGCCAAUGGUGCUGGGGAUGAGUUGACUGUGUCAUCGUGCCGCAUUCAUCUCACUACCUGCCUCGACAGUGAAUACGGUGCCCACUAUGGCUCUGGAGACCACACGGAUGAAAUCUCAAAUCCUCCACUUGUUGGCUUGCUUGAGGUUGGCAUCAUUGGAGCACGGGGCCUGCCUCCUAUAAAAAGGGAAAAUGGGAGAUUGUCGUCGCAUCCAUAUUGUGUGGCGAGAUAUGGCCGGAAGUGGGUACGAACUCGUACCAUCAUCAACAACCGCGAUCCUUUAUUCGAAGAGCAGUACUCAUGGGAUGUUUAUGAUACAGCAACAGUCCUGAUCGUUGGAGUGUUUGAUAAUGCCCAGGUGGAAGAGUCAAGUUCAGGAGGGUACAAGGGUGUCAACAUAGGGAAAAUAAGGAUACAUCUUUCCGAUCUCCAACCUGGUCGGAUAUAUUGUCAUGCAUACCCUCUUCUUGUUCUACAGCCUUCAGGUGUGAAGAAAAUGGGUGAACUGUGCCUGUCGGUGAGAUUUACACCGAAAUCAUUAACAAACAUGGUGCGUAUGUAUGGCUCCCCCAAUCUACCAAAGAUGCACCACCGGGACCCACUGCAGAUUCUGAUAGAAGAUCUGCAGUUUCAUGCUGUCCAGAUUGUGGCAUUCCGACUGAGCCAGAUGGAUCCUCCCCUACGCAAGGAAGCAGUGGAAUACAUGUGUGAUGUGCAAAGCCACUUGUGGAGCAUGCGGAAAAGCAAGGUCAACUUCUACAGGAUCAUGUCCGCCUUCUCAAUCCUCGUCACAUUUUGGCAGCGGUUUCUCUAUGUUUGUUCAUGGGAGAACCCCGCGAUCACUUUGCUGGUCCAUGCUGUUUUCCUCUUAGCUCUUAUGUUCCAUCAAUUCAUACUCCCGUCAACACUCCUAUUUACCUUCUUCAGUAUAGUAUGGAACUACCGGCAUCGCCCUACUCAUCCUUCCCACGUCGACAUCAAGAUAUCUUUAACAGACACUGUACACCCAGAUGAGCUUGACGAGGAAUUUGAUACCUUCCCUACUUCUCGGAGCUCUAGUUUAACAAUGAUGAGGUAUGAUAGGCUAAGGUGCCUUGCCAGCAGGAUACAGACUGUCAUGGGAGAUGUAGCAUCAUGUGGCGAGAGGAUCACUGCAUUGACAACAUGGAGGGAUCCUACAGCAACAGCAUUAUUUGGGCUCUUUACUUUAGCAGCAGCCGUUAUGAUGUGUUUUACACCGUGGAAAAUUCUCGUCGGGAUUGUUGGACUCUACAUCAUGAGGCACCCCAAGCUUCGGCGGAAGACGCCGUCAUUCGCUUGGAACCUCUAUAGGCGAUUGCCACACAAGGGCGACAGUGUGCUCUGA